UAAAAUAAGGCGCUGAUAUUUUGCAUUAAUUCAUGAGACUUUCGAGUUUAUUUAAGCGACAGCAAUUGUUAAAGGAAUCAUAAUCAUGAAAACCCAAUUCCCAUGCUUAUUUUGCAUCUACCACACAAAUUUUGAAUGAUUGCAACAGUUGUACCUUUCGUUGCUACAUAUAACUUCGUAAACAUAAUGAUGCUGGUAGAUUUUACAUAACGAUGUUCGUUAAUGUUUUAAUGUUAUGAUAUGCUUGUUGUGAUUUGCGCCAUAGCCCAUAUAAACGGCUUUGAGCAAAUUUCAUAAUAAAUUGAAUUGUUCCUAAAACUCGGUUU